UACGUAGGGACCGAGCGUUGUCCGGAUUCAUUGGGCGUAAAGAGCGCGCAGGCGGUCGUUCAAGUCGCGUGUGAAAGCCCCCGGCUCAACUGGGGAGGGUCACGCGAUACUGAUCGACUCGAAGGCAGGAGAGGGUAGUGGAAUUCCCGGUGUAGUGGUGAAAUGCGUAGAUAUCGGGAGGAACACCAGUGGCGAAGGCGACUACCUGGCCUGUUUCUUGACGCUGAGGCGCGAAAGCUAGGGGAGCAAACGGG
rnacentral:rRNA from 1 species